rnacentral:rRNA from 1 species
UACGUAGGGGGCAAGCGUUGUCCGGAUUUAUUGGGCGUAAAGAGCGUGUAGGCGGCCUGACAGGUCUGCUGUGAAAACUCGAGGCUCAACCUCGAGAUGUCGGCGGAAACCGUCUGGCUAGAGUCCGGAAGAGUAGAGUGGAAUUCCUGGUGUAGCGGUGAAAUGCGCAGAUAUCAGGAGGAACACCGGUGGCGAAGGCGGGUCUCUGGGCCGAUACUGACGCUGAGGAGCGAAAGCGUGGGGAGCGAACAGG